rnacentral:rRNA from 1 species
UACGUAGGGCGCAAGCGUUAUCCGGAAUUAUUGGGCGUAAAGAGCUCGUAGGCGGUUUGUCGCGUCUGCCGUGAAAGUCCGGGGCUCAACUCCGGAUCUGCGGUGGGUACGGGCAGACUAGAGUGCAGUAGGGGAGACUGGAAUUCCUGGUGUAGCGGUGAAAUGCGCAGAUAUCAGGAAGAACACCCGUGGCGAAGGCGGCUCUCUGGAACGCAACUGACGCUGAGACGCGAAAGCGUGGGGAGCAAACAGG